rnacentral:rRNA from 1 species
UACGGAGGAUGCGAGCGUUAUCCGGAUUUAUUGGGUUUAAAGGGUGCGUAGGCGGAUUAAUAAGUCAGUGGUGAAAUCCUGCAGCUUAACUGUGGAACUGCCAUUGAUACUGUUAGUCUUGAGUAUGGUCAAGGUAGGCGGAAUGUGUAAUGUAGCGGUGAAAUGCUUAGAUAUUACACAGAACACCGAUUGCGAAGGCAGCUUACUGGGCCAUUACUGACGCUGAUGCACGAAAGCGUGGGGAUCAAACAGGA